rnacentral:misc_RNA from 1 species
UUUAUUAGGCGCGCUGAAAAAAUACGGAGAAAGCGAACACGCACCCAUCGGGAAGAAUCGAAUAGCUAGCUAAUAAAACAAUCAGGUUUUUCCAUGAACAAGGUCACCUAUCAACCACGAUGGUAGGAGGCCUUCUACCCAUCCCUUCAAGCAUCAGCGUAGGGCAUAACCAAUCGACAUCGCGGAUCGUUACCCUCACUUUUCUUAACGAAAAGUGUGAACAACGAAUCCGCGUUCGUCAUGCAAAAGGGCACACCCACACUGAACUUUCUUCCAUCUCAACGCAAGAGCGACCAGCUAUCAAAAUUCUAACGCCUAACGUCUAACU